UACGUAGGGACCAAGCGUUGUCCGGAAUCAUUGGGCGUAAAGAGCGUGUAGGCGGCCAGGUAGGUCUGCUGUGAAAACUCGAGGCUUAACCUCGAGCUGUCGGCGGAAACCAUCUGGCUAGAGUCCGGAAGAGGAGAAUGGAAUUCCCGGUGUGAGCGGUGAAAUGCGCAGAUAUCGGGAAGAACACCCGUGGCGAAGGCGGUUCUCUGGGACGGUACUGACGCUGAGACGCGAAGCGUGGGGAGGCGAACG
rnacentral:rRNA from 1 species